rnacentral:rRNA from 1 species
UACAGAGGGUGCAAGCGUUAAUCGGAAUUACUGGGCGUAAAGCGCGCGUAGGUGGUUUGUUAAGUUGGAUGUGAAAUCCCCGGGCUCAACCUGGGAACUGCAUCCAAAACUGGCAAGCUAGAGUAUGGUAGAGGGUGGUGGAAUUUCCUGUGUAGCGGUGAAAUGCGUAGAUAUAGGAAGGAACACCAGUGGCGGAGGCGACCACCUGGACUGAUACUGACACUGAGGUGCGAAAGCGUGGGGAGCAAACAGG